rfam:Avian endogenous retrovirus EAV-HP partial proviral genome, clone EAV-21-3
UUGAUGCUUUGCAAACUUUAGUAGCCCGGGAGCUUCGCCUGGGUCACAUAGAGCCUUCGCUUAGUAGAUGGAACACUCCGGUGUUUGUAAUUCAGAAGAAAUCAGGGGCUUUUCGCUUGCUGCAUGACUUGCGCGCUGUCAAUUCUCAACUUAUACCCUUUGGUGUGGUGCAACAGGGAGCACCUGUGUUAUCUGCGGUGCCGGAGGAAUGGGAAGUAACGGCCAUUGACUUGAAGGAUUGUUUUUUCUCAAUACCUCUAGCUGAGCAGGAUAGAGAAGCUUUCGCUUUUAC